rnacentral:rRNA from 1 species
GACGAACGCUGGCGGCGUGCUUAACACAUGCAAGUCGAGCGGUAAGGCCCUUUCGGGGGUACACGAGCGGCGAACGGGUGAGUAACACGUGGGUGACCUGCCCUCAGCUCUGGGAUAAGCCUGGGAAACUGGGUCUAAUACCGGAUAUGACUUCGCAUCGCAUGGUGUGGGGUGGAAAGUUUUUCGGCUGGGGAUGGGCCCGCGGCCUAUCAGCUUGUUGGUGGGGUGAUGGCCUACCAAGGCGACGACGGGUAGCCGGCCUGAGAGGGCGACCGGCCACACUGGGACUGAGACACGGCCCAGACUCCUACGGGAGGCAGCAGUGGGGAAUAUUGCGCAACGGGCGGAAGCCUGACGCAGCGACGCCGCGUGGGGAUGAC